rnacentral:rRNA from 1 species
GAUGAACGCUAGCGGCAUGCUUAACACAUGCAAGUCGCACGGGGUGGUUUCGGCCAUUCAGUGGCGGACGGGUGAGUAACGCGUAGGUAUCUAUCCUUGGGUGGGGGAUAACCGUGGGAAACUACGGCUAAUACCGCAUGAUGUCUGAGGACCAAAGGCGCGAGUCGCCUGGGGAGGAGCCUGCGUUCGAUUAGCUAGUUGGUGGGGUAAAGGCCUACCAAGGCGAUGAUCGAUAGCUGGUCUGAGAGGAUGAUCAGCCACACUGGGACUGAGACACGGCCCAGACUCCUACGGGAGGCAGCAGUGGGGAAUAUUGGACAAUGGGCGCAAGCCUGAUCCAGCAAUGCCGCGUGAGUGAAGAAGGUCUUCGGAUUGUAAAGCUCUUUCGGCGGGGACGAUGAUGACGGUACCCGCAGAAGAAGCACCGGCUAACUACGUG